rnacentral:lncRNA from 1 species
UGAGGAUUUACAAAACCACGUCUUACUUUUCUACCCCUUCAUAUUGUUGCAGAAGCUGAAAAAGUAUUUUCUAAUUUCAUUUUCAAUUAUUUUUAGGCUACAAGAGUGACUGAACACAGAUUACCUCCUCCUGGUCCUCCCACAGGCAAUGUACCUCUGGCAAAAAGAGAAUGCACAAAAUUCCUUCACUGUACAGAGAUCUUUGAGUCUGCAAAGUGUCCCUUCUGUAAUUGCCUUGUUCCCUCAGUAGUUGUGGAGGAAUUUCAGCACAAGAAGCUCUGGUGAGGCUUCAGAGGUACUUGGAAAAGUGUUGAUAUUCCCAUACAACACUGAGUACUCAUUGCCAGUGCAUUCCCAUUUCUCAUCAUUCUAAGAAUUUCUGAAAGUCUAGGAAAUUAUCUGUAUGUCAUUGCAGUUUAUUUGGAUAUUUAUCAUUGUAAAGUUUAGGAGAUUAAUUAUUU